GGGGGUUGUUGGUCUGGUUGUGGUUGUGUGAGGAGGACAGGGGAAGGGGAGGAGGUAAAAGUCGGGGUAAAGGGCAAGGUUCCAAAACAGGGUUAAUGGGAAAAUAUUUCCCACUCUAGGAUGAAUGGAAAACAAAUUCCUAAGUUAGGGUGAAAGCGGCCAACGUGGAGGUUUUCUAUGCACCUUCGACACUUUGGAAUUUAUCUAAUCCACAAACGUGGUGGUUUUUAGUGUCGAAGAUGGCUUUUGAUUCAAGUUGAAACGAUAAAUGUCGACUUAUGCAAUUUGGAAUUAUCUAAUCUGGUUGAAACUCGUGUCUAGUGGAAUUGAUGAUAUUUACCUUUUAUUUUAAUUCAAGGGAUGUCUCAUAUCUAAGAAUCUCAUAAUUAUUAAAAAAAAUAAUCAAUUGCUUUAGCAAUUUAUGGUUUAUUGAUAGAAUAACAUAUAUAUCUUGUAUCUUUCAUAUUUUAUGUUAAAUACACAAGUAAACUCCUGGUAGCCAAAUCAUGUAAGUCCUUCUCUUAUUAUUUUCUCUUUUAUCUUUUCUAUCAUUUGAGAUUUUAAUAUGUUAUCAAAGCGUCGGGUUUAGUCUCAAAGCCAUUCUCUUUCUUCAUUUUAAAUUAGGGCUUGAUUUUCAAAACUAACUUUCUCCCAUAUUCUUCUAGAGAUUGUGUUCCAAAACUAUUUUUCAACCAUAUUCUCCUUCUUCAUUUCAGUUUAGGGUUUAAGUCCCAAUCUAUUUUUCUCACAAAUUCUCCUCCAUAGAUGAGAGUUUAGGUAUUGAGUCCCUUUUGUAAAAUUUUUUUUCCUAUUUUUCUCCUUUCCUAAAAUAUUUUUUA
rnacentral:misc_RNA from 1 species